GACGAACGCUGGCGGCGUGCCUAACACAUGCAAGUCGAACGAGGUCCAUGGGUGCUUGCACCCGGAAGACCUAGUGGCGAACGGGUGAGUAACACGUGAGAAACCUGCCCCAGACUCUGGGAUAACCCAAGGAAACUUGAGCUAAUACCGGAUAUUCUCCUUUGGUCGCAUGGCCAGUUGAGGAAAGUUUUUCGGUCUGGGAGGGUCUCGCGUCCUAUCAGCUUGUUGGUGAGGUAACGGCUCACCAAGGCGACGACGGGUAGCUGGUUUGAGAGAACGAUCAGCCACACUGGAACUGAGACACGGUCCAGACUCCUACGGGAGGCAGCAGUGGGGAAUCUUGCGCAAUGGGCGAAAGCCUGACGCAGCAACGCCGCGUGCGGGAUGAAGGCCUUCGGGUUGUAAACCGCUUUCAGCAGGGACGAAAAUGACGGUACCUGCAGAAGAAGCUCCGGCUAACUACGUGCCAGCCGCCGCAGUAA
rnacentral:rRNA from 1 species